rnacentral:rRNA from 1 species
GACGAACGCUGGCGGCGUGCCUAAUACAUGCAAGUAGAACGCACAGUUUAUACCGUAGCUUGCUACACCAUAGACUGUGAGUUGCGAACGGGUGAGUAACGCGUAGGUAACCUGCCUGGUAGCGGGGGAUAACUAUUGGAAACGAUAGCUAAUACCGCAUAAUAUUCAUUAUUGCAUGAUAAUUAAUUGAAAGGUGCAAUUGCACCACUACCAGAUGGACCUGCGUUGUAUUAGCUAGUAGGUGAGGUAACGGCUCACCUAGGGGACGAUACAUAGCCGACCUGGGAAGGGGAGCGGCCCAACUGGGAAGGGGACACGGCCCAGACCCCUACGGGAGGCAGCAGUAGGGAAUCUUCGGCAAUGGACGAAAGGCUGAACGGGCAACGCCGGGUGAGUGAAGAAGGUUCUCGGAUCGUAAAGCUCGGUUGUAAGAGAAGAACGGGUGUGAGAGUGGAAAGUUCACACUGUGACGGUAGCUGACCAGAAAGGGACGGCUAACUACGUG